rnacentral:rRNA from 1 species
UACGUAGGACGCAAGCGUUAUCCGGAAUUAUUGGGCGUAAAGAGCUCGUAGGCGGUUUGUCGCGUCUGCCGUGAAAGUCCGGGGCUCAACUCCGGAUCUGCGGUGGGUACGGGCAGACUAGAGUGAUGUAGGGGAGACUGGAAUUCCUGGUGUAGCGGUGAAAUGCGCAGAUAUCAGGAGGAACACCGAUGGCGAAGGCAGGUCUCUGGGCAUUAACUGACGCUGAGGAGCGAAAGCAUGGGGAGCGAACAGG